rnacentral:rRNA from 1 species
UUAAUACCGGAUAUUCACUUUUUCCUGCAUGGGAUGGGGUGGAAAGUUUUUCGGCUGGGGAGGGGCUCGCGGUCUAUCAGCUUGUUGGCGGGGUAACGGCCCACCAAGGCGACGACGGAUAGCCGGCCUGAGAGGGCGAUCGGCCACACUGGGACUGAGACACGGCCCAGACUCCUACGGGAGGCAGCAGUGGGGAAUAUUGCACAAUGGGCGGAAGCCUGAUGCAGCGACGCCGCGUGGGGGAUGAAGGCCUUCGGGUUGUAAACCCCUUUCACCAGGAGCGAAUUCAGACGGUACCUGGGGAAGAAGCGCCGGCUAACUACG